rnacentral:snRNA from 1 species
AUACUUUCCUGGCAGGGUUCAUUCCAUGAUCAUAAAUUUGGUUUCCCCAGGGCAAGGCUUAUCCAUUGCACUAUGGUUGGGAAAACUUGACUGCAUAAAUUGUGGUAAAGGUAGACAGCAUUCAUGUUCUCUCCUA